AGGUUCAAAAUAUAUAUUUUUGUGUUCAGCAGAAGGAAACUCAUACAGGUUUGUAACAACUUAAGGGAAAGUAAAUUAUCACACAAUCAAAAAAUUUAAUUCAAGUAUCAAGUAUAUUUUAUGUCAUAUUUGUGUCAAAUAUAAUUUUAUAAUUUUAACUAUAGCACAUUUUCAUUGAUUUCAUUUUCAAAUAACAUGCAGUUAAGUGUUCAAAAAUAUUACAUUCAAUUUACACUUCAAGUAUAACAGCAUAAUAUUUGCACUGAAGGUAUAUUCCAUAAUAAGUGCUUUUUAUGCUAAGGUGUGUUUCGAAUUUAUGAUGUUUCAUUCCUUUAUAAAACAUUUUACACAUUCUUAGAGCAAGUCAGAGCUUAAACAGGCUCAGUGGAUUUUUGGAGGUUCAACAAACUUUGUCAGUUAGAAGUUAGAGUUCUUCAGUUCACUGCCCAAGCUCAGUGCUCGAGUAGACCUCGUUUCUGUCUAAAGAGGCCCUGGAAAAGAUCCAGUCACAUCAAAGAAACAACACAGUCCUGACAGAGAACCGGCGAAGGUACAACAAAAAGCCCCCGAAGGCGACGGCCUCAGGAAGUAGAGUGUAUUGUUGGAGGUAUUGACUAGAGGCCAAGCACAAUACUGCCGUCCCUCGAGGACGCUGAGGCAAUUUCAGUCGACUCUAUGAGUCAGAGUCCAUGUCACUUCCUUGUCACUUCCUCUAAUGCUCUCUGCAUUUGAUAUUUGUUCUGCCGUAGGAGAAACAUUGUUCCACGCACAGAUCUAAAAACAGCUGCUGAGAGGUUGGGAGGCUGGGGUCACACUCGUCAGAUGUGGAAUUCAGUGGCUUUAGUCUGAAGUCUCUGGUGCAGCCGGAGCUUGCGGUGUUGCAGGAGACCCUCCAGUCUGCGAUACUGAUGAACCACCUCGUGGACCACCUCCAGAACCCCCCUCACCGCCUGACUGUAGUCGGCCCCUGCCGUCAGAGACCCGGAGUCAGCAGGAGGCUGAGGCCUCUGCAACACAUCCAGGAGUGUCUUUCCUUUCUGACUGACCUGCAACCAGAAAUAUAUCAUCCGUUAGUCGGUGGUGGACAGGUGAACAAGCAAUUCAUUGCAAACGGGACGGAUCCAGCUGGAGCUGUUCGUGAAUCAACUCACUGAUUCAAUGAAUCAUUAGGAACGAGCCUCUGGUUAACGGCUCAUUAAACUGGUCACGUCUGACUCAAAACAGAACGAGCAUCAUACUCUGAGUUCAAGUGUGCAAGGUUUGACUAAUGUCCACGUCAGUUGCUAAUUCCAUUUUGUAGUAUUGUUUAUUGUAAGUGAAAAUCAUAUUCAUGUUAUACAGUACAUGACGGUCAUUUGUUUGUGAACUACUUUUAACAAAAUAGUCCACCCAAAAAAUUGCUGAGAACAUUACAAGUGGAAAAUUGUGUGUCUGCAAGGUUUAAAGUUUGGACUGGAGUGAUUUGUUUGCGGAUUAUUGUGAUAUUUUUAUCAGUUUUGGACUCGUUUACUGCAGAGGAUCCAUUGUUAUCGCUAUAUCUAUUGCAUUGCUAAAUCUCCAAGACAAAGCUUUUUUGGCCAAAAAGUGUCCUAAAUAGUACAGCUCCGCAAAAAC